rnacentral:rRNA from 1 species
CCUACGGGUGGCUGCAGUGGGGAAUAUUGGACAAUGGGCGCAAGCCUGAUCCAGCAAUGCCGCGUGUGUGAAGAAGGCCUGCGGGUUGUAAAGCACUUUAAGCAGGAAAGAAGGGCGGAGCGAUAAUACCGUUUCGCAUUGACGUUACCUGCAGAAUAAGCACCGGCUAACUCCGUGCCAGCAGCCGCGGUAAUACGGAGGGUGCGAACGGGGCUCGGAAUUACCGGGCGUAAAGUGAUCAGUGGGGGUUGAAAGCCCUGGGCUUAACCUGGGAACUGCGGUGGAUACUGUCGGGCUAGAGUGUGGUAGAGGGGAGUGGAAUUUCCGGUGUAGCAGUGAAAUGCGUAGAGAUCGGAAGGAACACCAGUGGCGAAGGCGGCUCCCUGGACCAACACUGACGCUGAGGUGCGAAAGCGUGGGGAGCAAACAGGAUUAGAUACCCCAGUAGUC